CCUACGGGAGGCAGCAGUGGGGAAUAUUGCACAAUGGGGGAAACCCUGAUGCAGCGACGCCGCGUGAGUGAAGAAGUAAUUCGUUAUGUAAAGCUCUAUCAUCAGGGAAGAAUAUGACGGUACCUGAGUAAGAAGCCCCGGCUAACUACGUGCCAGCAGCCGCGGUAAUACGUAGGGGGCAAGCGUUAUCCGGAUUUACUGGGCGUAAAGGGAGCGUAGGCGGCAGUGGAAGUCUGGAGUGAAAGGCUGGGGCUGAACCCCCGGACUGCUAUGGAAACUGUACGGCUGGAGUGCAGGAGAGGUAAGUGGAAUUCCUGGUGUAGCGGUGAAAUGCGUAGAUAUUAGGAGGAACACUAGUGGCGAAGGCGGCUUACUGGAAUGUAACUGACGUUGAGGCUCGAAAGCGUGGGGAGCAAACAGGAUUAGAUACCCCAGUAGUC
rnacentral:rRNA from 1 species